AGUGAACGCUGGCGGUAGGCCUAACACAUGCAAGUCGAACGGCAGCACAGUAAGAGCUUGCUCUUACGGGUGGCGAGUGGCGGACGGGUGAGGAAUACAUCGGAAUCUACUUUUUCGUGGGGGAUAACGUAGGGAAACUUACGCUAAUACCGCAUACGACCUACGGGUGAAAGCAGGGGAUCUUCGGACCUUGCGCGAUUGAAUGAGCCGAUGUCGGAUUAGCUAGUUGGCGGGGUAAAGGCCCACCGAGGCGACGAUCCGUAGCUGGUCUGAGAGGAUGAUCAGCCACACUGGAACUGAGACACGGUCCAGACUCCUACGGGAGGCAGCAGUGGGGAAUAUUGGACAAUGGGCGCAAGCCUGAUCCAGCCAUACCGCGUGGGUGAAGAAGGCCUUCGGGUUGUAAAGCCCUUUUGUUGGGAAAGAAAAGCAGCAGGUUAAUACCCCGCUGCUCUGACGGUACCCAAAGAAUAAGCACCGGCUAACUUCGUG
rnacentral:rRNA from 1 species